GACGAACGCUGGCGGCGUGCCUAAUACAUGCAAGUCGAGCGAAGUUUUUCUGGUGCUUGCACUAGAAAAACUUAGCGGCGAACGGGUGAGUAACACGUAAAGAACCUGCCUCAUAGACUGGGACAACUAUUGGAAACGAUAGCUAAUACCGGAUAACAAUAUUUUUCGCAUGAAAGAUACUUAAAAGUUGGUUAUGCUAACACUAUGAGAUGGCUUUGCGGUGCAUUAGCUAGUUGGUGGGGUAAAGGCCCACCAAGGCGACGAUGCAUAGCCGACCUGAGAGGGUGAUCGGCCACACUGGGACUGAGACACGGCCCAGACUCCUACGGGAGGCAGCAGUAGGGAAUCUUCCGCAAUGGGCGAAAGCCUGACGGAGCAACGCCGCGUGAGUGAAGAAGGAUUUCGGUUCGUAAAGCUCUGUUGUUAGGGAAGAAUGGAUAUGUAGU
rnacentral:rRNA from 1 species